GUCUACGGCCAUGCCACCCUGAAACAGCCUGAUCCCAUCUGACCUUGGAAGCUAAGCAGGGUCAGGCAUGGUUAUUACUUGGAUGAGAGACCACCUAGGAAGACCAGGUGCUGUAGGCA
rnacentral:rRNA from 1 species